rnacentral:lncRNA from 1 species
ACAAUCGUAACUACGUGGAAAAGGAAUUAAUUUAGCAUAUGUUACUCGCAAAAUGCAUUUUUUGAGGCGUUGGCAGGCUAUAUUUAACCCGAGCAGCAGGACGGUCACCCUCAGGCGAGCUGUGCUAACGGACACCCAGCAUCCAGGAGGGCCGAAAUCCGCACCGCAGCUUCACGGCGACCCCCGCAUCCCGCAGCCAUCCCUUGGAAAUCCGCUCCCAGCGAGCUGCCCGGCGCUGAGGGGUCCCUGAAAACGCCUUGACGCAACACAGCCGCCUCGCAGCCCGCCCCGCUCCUCAGCCCCUCACCUGAGGUGACGCCGUCAACCGCCGCCCUCGCGCGCGCCCCUCCCGCUCUAUUCCCAGCAGCGCCCGCGCUGCCCGCCCGCCCGCAUCACGUGACCUCCAUCGCCCCGCCUUUCCGGCCCUGCCCACCCCCCACUUCCUUCCCCCCUCAGCUCCAUCUCCUUCCGGGUGCGCGCGCACAGCCCUGUGGGAAGGCCCGGCCCUCCCUCCUUCUCUCUCUCCCCCCCCCCUCCUUCACCCCCCCCCGCGGCCUCCCGAGCUCCCCCGCGGCGCAUGCGCAGUGGCUGCCUCCCAUCUUCCUCCCCGGCAGCGCCGGAGCCCCCAGCAGCCGGAGCGGCGGCAGCUGACGAUGAGGAGCGCGGGGGGGGCGGGGGGGGGCCGUUAUUUAUAUCGUUAAAGGGACAGGCCGCCCAUUUCUCCGCCGCGGGGGCUGGGGGGGGCCGUCGCACGGCCACCGACUUUCUUUCCCCCCCCCCCCCCCCCCCCCCCCCCCCCCCCCCCCCCCCCAACCCCCCCGGACCGGAGGAACCCGGGGCCGGAGUGAGGCGCCGAGAACGACAGCGGAGAGUUUCUUCCCUCCUCCCUCCUCCUCCUCCUCCUCCUCCUUCUCCUCCUCCUCCUCCCCGCGGCCGUCAGCGGAGGGAGAAAGGGCCCCGCCGGGAGCACGGAGCAGCCGGGCGGCCCCCACCCCCCGCGCUCCCCUCCUCCCCCUUUAUUGCCCUUUGUGUGCGUUCGCCGCCUGCGCCGCUCCGGGGCCGGCCGGGCGCCGGGGGGCCGCUGAGAUCCUUACUGACGAUGGUGAUCAUUGGAGGUAGAAAUACUGAAGGAUACGUCAUUUACAGACAAGAUCUUUGA